rnacentral:rRNA from 1 species
CCUACGGGCGGCAGCAGUCGAGAAUCAUUCACAAUGGGGGAAACCCUGAUGGUGCGACGCCGCGUGGGGGAAUGAAGGUCUUCGGAUUGUAAACCCCUGUCAUGUGGGCGCAAAUUAAAAAGAUAGUACCACAAGAGGAAGAGACGGCUAACUCUGUGCCAGCAGCCGCGGUAAUACAGAGGUCUCAAGCGUUGUUCGGAAUCACUGGGCGUAAAGCGUGCGUAGGCGGUUUCGUAAGUCGUGUGUGAAAGGCGCGGGCUCAACCCGCGGACGGCACAUGAUACUGCGAGACUAGAGUGAUGGAGGGGGAACCGGAAUUCUCGGUGUAGCAGUGAAAUGCGUAGAUAUCGAGAGGAACACUCGUGGCGAAGGCGGGUUCCUGGACAUUAACUGACGCUGAGGCACGAAGGCCAGGGGAGCGAAAGGGAUUAGAUACCCGAGUAGUC